rnacentral:tRNA from 1 species
GGGGAUGUAACUCAGUGGUAUAGUGCUUGCCUAGAAUGCAUAAAGCCCUGAGUUCAAUUCCUAGUACCACUA